rnacentral:lncRNA from 1 species
UCUCAUCUUGCAUUCUACAUAUACAAAAUAAUGAAAAUAAAAAAUCACAAUAUAAACAAACCAUCAAUAUAAACAAACCAUCAAUAAAAACAAACCAAUAAAAACUCACAAUAUAAACAAACCAUCAAUAUAAACAAACUGUCACGGCCCGUCCCGGAAUUUUUAAUUCCGAGGACGUGAAAUUACAAAAGUGACCUUAAACGGGAUUAAGGUGCGUAAAUUCGACAUUUAGUUUUACCUAAAGUUCCUAAACUAUUGUUAAUUAGAUUAUUACCUAGUGUUAGGAACUUAAACUAAGACUUGGAUUUACAAUUGUAUGUUUUAAUUUGGUCAGUUAGAGGUUUAGGUAGGGCCUCAUGCCCUGAUUCCCUCCCCAUUUCCCGUAUUCACUCUCUCUCUCUUCCUCAGACCUUCUCUCUCUCUCUCUCACCCUCUCGAACACACGGGCAACCACCAAAACCACCUAAAAUCAACACCAACGCCGGAUUUAAAACCACCAUUGCACUCCUGAUGUCACAGCCCGUCCGGAAUUUUAAUUUCGAGGACGUGAAAAGACGAAAAUGCCCUUAAAUGGGACUAAGGGGCGAAAAUUUAACGAUUGGUUUUACUUAAAGUUCCUAAGUUAUUUGGUUUUAGGAACUUAAACUAGGCUUAAGUUUGGAUUUUUAUGUGGGAAUUUAUGAAAUUGGGAUUGGGUUGGACACGUGGGAUCCCCACACCUCAAAACCCUCCCCAUAACCCGUAACAUUGUCUCACUCUCUCUCUCCUCCCUCACGAAACUCUCAGUUCUCUCUCCCUCUCCUUCGAACUCACACGGACAAGCUCCAAAACCACCCUAAACUUCUACCAACGACGGAGUUAAGACCACCAUCGAACUCCUGGAACCUCCACGAUCACGUAGACACCAAUUUCAGGUAAGUUUUACUUCGGAAAACCUAGAUUCUAAACUCCCCGUGAAAGUGUACUGUUCAUGAGCUUUGAAUUGGUUGUGUUUUAGGCCAAACUAAGCUCACAGUGAGCUUUAGGAAGUCCCAAGGAAGCUCGGAGUAUGUUGUUUGGAAGUUUUGGACGUCGGGAUCACCACGUUCAAAGUUGGCCGGUUCUUGUGGAAUUUUCCGGUAAGAUUUCGUAGUUUUUAGAGCUUUAAAGUAGUAUAUUAUGAUUCUACAUGUUGAGGGCUUCAAUUUGAUAUAUUAUACGAAGAAAAUGGUUGAGAAACGAAGGAGAACGAAGCAUUUGAAAAUUCUCCAGUUUUCCGGUCGUCGGAAAAACCAGUCCGGCGAACCAAGGUUGGGGAUGAUGCGCGUGGGGGCGCGUGUCCCCGUGCUUGUCCUGGCGCGUGGGGGCGCGUGGCACAUCAAAAAAAUAAUCUAAAAAUAUGUCGACGUUCGUGACGUCGAGUGGAUCACUUUGGUAUAUUCAUAUACCCAAAUUGAGCACCGUAUGAGAAAGUUAUUAAGGAUUGUUGGUUAGGUGUUCAAAUAACGUUUUAUAAUUUUCGCAUUAGGUGAAAAUGUGAAUUGAUGAUCCGACCGUUGGAUCGUCACCAAAAUUUGAUACGUUGUAAUACGUAAUAUUUGAGGAUUAUAGGAACUUACGGAUUGGGAAUCCGAUUUACGGAUCUUCCGGAAUUUGAGUUGUAAGUUCAUAAAAUAGAAUGUAAACAGUCACUUAGUUUUGUUAAUUGACGGAGAUCUGACCGUUGGAUGGUGAUGAAAUUUUAGGAUGUUGUCCUAGAGAUAUAUUGUGGACCUCUGGAAGUUAUGGAUUUAAAAUCUGAGUGGCAGAUCUUCCGGAUCGAUCUACGUAGUGACGUAUUUUAUAUAAGUUAUAUAUUCUAUCGAUAUGAAUUCUGAGGUUGGAUUUGAUUACUGUUCUAGGCGGCAAUCGUCAUGACGCCUUGGCGUAUUGUGCUAGGGAGUUGUAGGACGAACUCCAGGUGAGUGGGCAGUUUUGUUUUCCGUAUAUAUAUAUACUUGACGUUUUCCCAGAAAUUGAAUUAGAAUGAAAUUAUGUUUUAAAUGAAAGGUAUAUAGAAUUAUAUGAAAACGUGAAUUGAAAGGUCAUGCAUAGAAGUAUAUGAAAUAUAUAUGGAAAUGUAAAUUGAAUUGCCAUGCAUGAAAUGAUAUGAAUCAAAUGAUAUGAAUUGUUAUAUGAUGCAUAUGAAUGAAUGGUGCGGCGGACGCACAUGUGAGUAUCAGGUGAGUAUUUAAAUACUGUUAUGAUGAUGUUGAUAUAUAUUGAGCUCAAAUCCUGCACCAUGGUUUAGUGCUUAUAGUAUUCACCGCAUCGCACGCUCGCCUUGGAUCCAAGUAGAUGCUGGUCGCAUAGUCCACGCGGAGUGGGUGCGACGGGCCAGUCGAAGAGUGUUAGUGAGAUUUCGACUGGUGGGUGACCUUAGAUUAUGUGCACAGAUGAUUAAUGAGAAAGCACUAGAGCAUAACUUGUGUGCAGAAGGCCGUACAGGUCACAGAGGUGACUCCGGCAGAGUGAGAGUGAUAGAUUUUGAGCUCUAGGUUCAACCGUUCAGGGCUAUUAGAGGGCCUCCGGUUGAUUACUUCUUGCACCUGAUAUAAUUAUUGUUGAUGCAUUCAUAUUAUACUGUUGAAUUUAGACAUGGCAUGGCAUAAUUGUAAUGAAAAAUGUUGAGAUAGUGAUUUGAAGUUUUGAGAUUAUAUAUGUAUAUUUAUAUUUUACAUUUCUGGGAAAGUAUACAAGUUUUACGGAGAGGGGUUACAACGUUUGCGAAAUGUUUGGAUUUGGAAAAGAAUUGUUUUACUGACCCACUCAAUUUUGGUUUUGCGCCCCUCCAGGUUCAGGAAUCACAAAGGUGUGGUGACUACGAGGAAUUCGACGGUGUUCUGACAGAUUGGACAAAAUUAGGACUCACCUUCGGGUGUAUCAACUUAUAAAUUGUAUCUUAAAGCUUCCGUACUGUGCAAAUGGUUACGUCACUCUCACGUGAUGGCCAGCAUGCCCUCCUUCGGGACGGGGUGUGUCACCUGAGGACUCCACGAUCACGUAGGUACCAGUUUAAAGUGAGUUUCAUUUCGAAAACCCUAGUUUCUAAAGACACCGUGAUUAUGUACUGUUCAUGAUCUUUGAAGUGGUUGUGUUUUAGGCCAAACUAAGAUCACAGUGAGCUUUAGGAAGUCCCAAGGAAGCUCGGAGUGGGUUGUUUGGAAGUUUUGGACGUCGGAAUCACUUGGUUCGACGUUUAGCCGAUUUCUCGAAAUUUUGGAAGGUAUGAUUCCGUGGUUUUUAGUGUUUAAAACCCUUCCAACGUGAUUGUACAUGUUAAAUGCUUCAAUUUGGUAUAAAAUUCGAGAAAAAUGGACGAAAAACGAGUGAGAAUAGUUAAAUAGAAAUUUUUCCCAGUUUUCUGGUGACCGGAGUUCGGCGAGAGUCCAUCGGAGAAGAAACUGGAAUAUUCCGUUAGUUCUAACGGAAUAUUCCUGACGCCGUUAACGGAACUGUUAGGUUUUAACGGAAUAUUCUCGGAAUAUUCCUGACGCCGUCAGUGUGCAACGCACGUGGCUGCGCGUGGGGGGCGCGUAGGUCCGUGCCAUUUCAGGCGCGUGGGGGCGCGUGAAGGGUCCAAAAAUUAUUUUAAAAAUAUGGGGAUGAUCCUGAGGUUGUGUAGGUCACCGUGGUAUAUUCAUAUACCCAAUUUGAGCAACAUAUGAGGAGUUAUUAGCUAAGAGUUGGGUUAUGCGUUAAAUAACGUUAUUUCGGGUACUUCUUGUAUAGGUGAGACUUAUAGCGAGGAGGAGCACAUCCAGGGGCGUCAAAGGGGUUACGACCCGGCAACAUACCAGUGAGUGGGCAUUGCUUUCUAUAUAUAUACCUAUAUACCCGAUUUCCCCAGAAAUCAAUUUAAAUGAAAAGUAUGUUGAAUUGUGAUAUGGAAUAUAGUUUGGGUUGCCAUGCUUAGAAUAUCAUGAAUAUUAUGAAUUGUUGUAUGAUGCAUAUAUGUGAAAUGGUGCGGUGGACGCACAGGUGAGUAUCAGGUGAGUAUUAUUACUGUUAUGAUGAUGUUGAGAUAUGUUGAGCUCAUAAACUGCACCUUGGUAUUAGUGCUUAUAUUAUUCACCCUGCAUCGUAUGCUCACCUUGGAUCCAAGUAGAUGCUAGUCGUACAGACCACCGGGGGUGGUUCCGACAUGCCAGUCGUACAGACCAUUAGAGGGGUUCCGACUGGUAGGUGACCUUAGAUUAUGUGCACAAAUGAUUGAUGAGAAAAGCACUAGAGCAUAUUAUUACACCAUUAAGUCGUACAGAUUACAUUAGGUAAUUCCGACUUAUGUGCAGUGUAGUGCCGUACAGGUCAUACUAGGUGACUCCGGCAUGGCCGUACAGGUCACAGUUGGUGACUCCGGUUAGAUGAGAUUUUGAGCUCUACAUUCAGUCGUACAGGACCAUUGUAGGGUCUCCGGUUGAUUUAUUCUUUCACCUGAUUUAUGUUAAUGCAUUCAUACUAAACUGUUGAAUUGAACAUGGCACGUUUUCUAUUGAAUAUGUUAUGAGAUUGAUGAUUGAGAUGGUUGAGAUAUAUAUAUGCUUAUAUACUAUUUUUCUGGGAAAGUAUACAGGUUUUCAAAGAGGGGUUAUAAAUGUGGAGUUAUGAAAUGUUUUGGAAAAGCUUUAUUUUCGCCCACUCACGUUUUCUGUUUUGCGCCCCUCCAGGUUCUAGUUGAGGUGUUGGUGGCCUACGAGGACUUCUUCGGCGUUCUGACAGACUAAAUAAAUGUAGGAUUCACCCGAGGGUGUUGUAAAUUAGUUAUGGUCCUACUUGACUGCACCUAGACGCUUGUGCUCUGUUUAUGUGUGUUUAGUGCACUAUAAUGCACAUAGAAUGAUAGGUUGUUAAUAACUGCAAUUAGUGGUUUUUUUUUUGUUAGUAUUUUUGUUAUAUUAUCGUUUCCGCCUGCACUUAUGGUUACGCCACGCUCACGUGACAGCCAGCAUGUCCUAAUUUUCGGGUUAGGGUGUGUCAGUUUGGUAUCAGAGCAUAGGUUGCAGUCCUGUAUAACUAAUGAGUUCUUCUAUUGAUUUUUGAUGUUUUCUGUCAGAAUUAUGCCGCCUCGUAGAGAUCCUCGCCGUGCUACUGAACCUAAUGUCCCCGAUAUAGUUCAGUUAGGGGAAGCAAUAACUCAGGCUUUUCAGGCUAGUAUCCGUCCUCCUCAGAGAACACCUGUAGAGACGAUGCAUAAUCUGAAAUUGGAAACCUUUGAGGGAAAUGAAGGUUAUGAGGGGGCAGAAAAGUGGUUGGAUCGGAUUGAGCAGACUUUUCAAGUGAUGAGGAGUCAAGGGAACCUACCUGAGAAUAGAUGGGUCGAGACUACCAUUUGGUUUUUAAGCCGAGAGGUUGCAGUUUGGUGGAGAAAUGAAACUAAUUUUCUUGCACCUGAGAUGGUACAAGAUUGGGGCAUAUUCAAGGGAAUAUUUAGGAAAAGAUUCGUUCCCCCAGAGUACAUUGAUAGUAAGAAGCAGGAGUUCACCCAAUUGAAGCAAAGGAAGAUGUCGGCAUGUGAAUACUACAGGAAGUUUACAGAUUUGUCUCGUUAUGAUCCGGAUGUGGCUGCUAAUCCAGAGGAAAUGCUUCGUCGAUUUAAGUUGGGAUCGAAGAAGAGAUGGCGAACCUUUGCUAGCGCACUUCCUUGUGCUAAUUAUCAUGAGUUUUCUGAAAUUAUGGUUCGGAUGGAGGAGUCCGAGAAACUUCCUAGUGAUAGUGAUGAAGAGGAAGAUAAGAAUGAUGGCAACCAGAGGAAUGAAGGCAAGGGUAAAGGUAUCUCCUUCCAAGGACCCCGUAAGACGCAGAAUUUCAAAAAGAGUGGAAUGAGUUCGAGUUCUUCCAGUGGUGGAUUUAGUACCACAGGUCCGAGGAGAGGAGGUGGUAGGUUUGGUAGUGGACCUAGAUUUCCUAGUCAGAGAAGUUUUAUUGGUACUGGUGGUUCUGGUCCUCCGUUAUGUAGCCGUUGUAAUUUUCGACAUCAUGGGGAAUGUAGGAGAAUCAGUGGUGCAUGCUUUACAUGUGGUCAGGUAGGACAUCGAGCUGCACAUUGUCCCCAAAGUCAGCAGAGGCCCCAGCAGCCUGUUAUGCCAGCUCCAGCACCGACUCAGCAGAACUUAAAUUCAGGCAGUUAUGGCCAGUUUGGUCGUGGUGGUGCUUAUCACUAUCAGGGUGAUGCUGCUCCUUAUGCUCCGGGACAGUAUCAAUAUUCCCAGGAUCCUUAUUUUCAGAGUGGAUAUUCUCAGGAUCAGGGAGGUUAUACUUCAUAUCCGUCUAUGCCAGCUAGCGGAUCUCAGUGGUAUUAGGGGGGUCGGCCUCAACAGAGAGGGGUUGCUGCUAGUAGUGCAGGGCCGUCUAGGCAGCCUGCCCAGGCAGGUCAAGGACGUACUCAUCAGGGGCGAGGUAAUCAGAGUGGCAGAGGUCGUGGAGGACGACAGCCAGCUCAGGGAAGUGUUAACCACAUAUCACUGCAAGAUGCUCAGAACCAUCCAGACUUGAUUAUGGGUACGUUGAAUGUUCUUGGUCAUUUUGCUAGGGUUUUGAUUGAUUGUGGUGCUACGCAUUCUGUGAUUUCUCAUACAUUUGCUCAAAUGACACAACCUCAUCUUUCGCCUCUAGGGUUUGAUUUAGAAUUUGUUAUGCCUAGAGGGGAUAAAUGUUAUGUUGAUAGUUUUUAUCCUGGGUGUCCAGUGAUGGUAGAUAAUGUAGUUAUGCCUGCUAAUCUCAUCCCGUUAGACACCGUGGAUUUUGAUGUGAUUUUAGGGGCGGAUUGGUUGCAUUAUAAUCGCGCCCAUAUAGAUUGUUACGGGAAAUCAGUUACUUUUCUUCGUCCUGGACUACCUGAGGUUACUUUUGUGGGUGAAAGAAGUGGGGUGAGGCAUGGUGUUAUUUCAGCCAUAAGGGCGAAGAAAUUGUUAUCCAAGGGUUGUCAGGGAUACUUGGCACAUGUGGUUUUGAAUGAUGUUGCUCCCAGUAGUGUGAAGGAAGUCGGAGUAGUCAGACACUAUCCUGAUGUAUUUCCAGAUGAUUUGCCUGGAUUGCCCCCAGAUAGAGAUGUGGAGUUUUCGAUUGAAUUGCUUCCAGGUACAAACCCUAUAUCAUUGACUCCUUAUAGAAUGGCACCAACGGAAUUAAGAGAGUUGAAAAUUCAAUUGCAAGAGUUAAUUGAUAAAGGUUUCAUUCAGCCUAGUUCUUCACCUUGAGGAGCUCCGGUGUUGUUUGUGAGAAAGAAGGAUGGAACUUUGAGAUUGUGUAUUGAUUACAGGCAAUUGAAUCGGGUAACGAUUAAAAACCGUUAUCCCUUGCCUCGUAUAGAUGAUUUGUUUGAUCAGCUCAAAGGUGCCUGUGUGUUUUCUAAGAUCGAUUUGAGAUCUGGGUAUUAUCAAUUAAAGAUUAAAGAUGUGGAUGUUCAUAAAACGGCUUUCAGGACUCGUUAUGGGCAUUAUGAGUUUUUGGUGAUGCCAUUUGGAUUGACUAAUGCCCCUGCAGCUUUCAUGAGAUUGAUGAAUGAAGUAUUCCAGGAAUAUUUAGACAAGUUUGUUAUUGUUUUUAUUGAUGAUAUCCUGGUAUACUCUAAGUCGAAAUCAGACCAUAUUCGACAUCUUAACUUGGUGUUAAGGAAAUUGAGGGAGCACCGGUUAUAUGCCAAGUUUAGUAAAUGUCAGUUUUGGCUGAAUCAAGUGGCAUUUUUGGGACAUGUGGUAUCAGCUCAGGGAAUUCAAGUGGAUCCUCAAAAGAUAGCAGCAGUGGAAAGUUGGGAACAACCUCGAACCGUCACUGAGGUGCGGAGUUUUCUUGGCUUGGCAGGUUAUUAUCGACGGUUUGUUCAAGACUUUUCUAUGAUUGCCUUGCCAUUAACGAAGUUAACCAGGAAGGAGGUUAAGUUUGAGUGGGAUGAUAGUUGUGAGCAAAGUUUCCAGCAGUUGAAGUAUUGCCUUACUCAUGCACCUGUGUUAAUACUUCAUGAUGAUAAUGGUAACUUCGAGAUCUACAGUGAUGCUUCUUUGAAUGGUUUAGGUUGUGUUUUGAUGCAGCAUAGUAAAGUGAUUGCCUAUGCUUCUAGGCAGUUGAAGACUCAUGAAAAGAACUAUCAUACUCACGAUCUUGAGUUGGCAGCUAUUGUGUUUGCUUUGAAGAUUUGGAGACACUAUCUCUAUGGUGAGAAAUGUAAGAUCUUUACAGAUCAUAAAAGUCUUCAGUACCUUUUCACGCAGCAUGAUCUUAAUCUUCGUCAGAGAAGAUGGUUAGAAUUGUUAAGUGAUUAUGAUUGCACGAUUGAGUACCAUCCGGGUCGUGCAAAUGUGGUAGCUGAUGCUCUGAGUAGGAAACCUCAAGGGCGACUUAAUGCUUUGUAUGCCAGCCGUGUUUCUCUUCUUGCAGAGUUAAGAUCUAUUGGAGUAGAGUUAGAAUUGGAAGAGCAAAGUGAAGCUUUUCUUUCCAAUUUUCAAGUCAAGCCAAUUUUAAUUGAUCGGGUGCUUGCAGCUCAAUCGUGGGAUGAAGAAAUCCAAGAAUUGGUCAGUUUAAGAAAGGAAGGGAAAAAGAAAGAUCUCAGGAUCCGAGGAUCAGAUGGUAUGCUUAUGCAAGAGAACAAGAUGUAUGUGCCAAAUAAUGAGGAACUAAAGAAAGAAAUUUUGGAUGAAGCACAUUGUUCGGCUUAUGCUAUGCACCCAGGGGGAACUAAAAUGUAUCAUACCAUUCGACCAUUUUACUAUUGGCCGGGUACGAAGAGGGAAAUUGCAGAGUAUGUAAGUAGGUGUAUUGUUUGCCAGCAGGUUAAGGCUGAAAGAAAGAAGUCGUUUGGAAGAUUGCAACCAUUUCCCGUUCCCCAGUGGAAAUGGGAGAAUAUAACGAUGGAUUUUGUGUAUAAGCUGCCUAGUACACAAAAUGGUUUUGAUGGCAUUUGGGUGGUUGUAGAUCGACUUACCAAAUUAGCACAUUUUAUUCCAGUAAGGGAGAAGUACCCUUUAAAUAAGUUGGCUAAGUUAUUCACAUCGAAGGUUGUAAAGUAUCAUGGUGUCCCAGUGAAUAUUAUUUCUGAUCGAGAUCCAAGAUUUACUUCUAAGUUUUGGACAGCUUUUCAAGAAGCUUUGGGUACUAGAUUGCUUUACAGUACAGCUUAUCAUCCACAGACAGAUGGUCAGUCAGAGAGAACUAUUCAGACACUCGAGGAUAUGUUGAGAUCCUCUGUGAUGCAAUUUGGUGAUUCUUGGCAUGAUCGCUUGGAUUUGAUGGAGUUUGCCUACAAUAAUAGUUUUCAUUCGAGUAUUGGAAUGUCUCCAUUUGAAGCGCUUUAUGGUAAAGCUUGUCGUACGCCAUUAUGUUGGUCAGAGGUCGGUGAAAGAAUACUCGAGGGCCCAGAGAUUGUGGAUGAGACUACUCAGAAUAUUCAGGUAAUUAAGUCUAACCUGAAAGUGACCCAAGAUAGGCAAAAGAGCCUAGCAGAUCGACAUACCACGGAUAGAAUGUAUAAUGUGGGCGACUAUGUAUUUCUGAAAUUAUCGCCUUGGAGAGGGGUGGUUCGUUUUGGAAAGAAAGGAAAGCUAAGUCCCAGGUACAUUGGACCUUAUGAGAUCACUGAGAGGAUUGGUGAAGUUGCCUAUAGGUUGGAGCUGCCUCCAGAGUUGUCUAAGGUACAUAAUGUGUUCCAUGUCUCGAUGCUUCGGCAUUAUGUUUCAGAUCCUUCACAUGUGAUUCCUCCUCAACCUUUGGAAAUUAAUCCGGAUUUGACGUAUGAUGAGGAACCAGUGACUAUACUGGAUUGGAAAGACAAGACUCUAAGGAAUAAGACAGUGAGCUUGGUAAAAGUAUUGUGGAGGAACCAUACAGCGGAAGAAGCUACAUGGGAGACAGAAGAACGGAUGAGGGAUAUGUAUCCGAGGCUAUUUUAUGAGUAUUGAUGGUGUGGUUGGUGGCUGGAAUUUCGGGGACGAAAUUCUAUAAGGAGGGGAGAUUGUCACGGCCCGUCCCGGAAUUUUUAAUUCCGAGGACGUGAAAUUACAAAAGUGACCUUAAACGGGAUUAAGGUGCGUAAAUUCGACAUUUAGUUUUACCUAAAGUUCCUAAACUAUUGUUAAUUAGAUUAUUACCUAGUGUUAGGAACUUAAACUAAGACUUGGAUUUACAAUUGUAUGUUUUAAUUUGGUUAGUUAGAGGUUUAGGUAGGGCCUCAUGCCCUGAUUCCCUCCCCAUUUCCCGUAUUCACUCUCUCUCUCUUCCUCAGACCUUCUCUCUCUCUCUCUCUCUCUCUCUCUCACCCUCUCGAACACACGGGCAACCACCAAAACCACCUAAAAUCAACACCAACGCCGGAUUUAAAACCACCAUUGCACUCCUGAGGACUCCACGAUCACGUAGGUACCAGUUUAAGGUGAGUUUCAUUUCGAAAACCCUAGUUUCUAAAGACACCGUGAUUAUGUACUGUUCAUGAUCUUUGAAGUGGUUGUGUUUUAGGCCAAACUAAGAUCACAGUGAGCUUUAGGAAGUCCCAAGGAAGCUCGGAGUGGGUUGUUUGGAAGUUUUGGACGUCGGAAUCACUUGGUUCGACGUUUAGCCAAUUUCUCGAAAUUUUGGAAGGUAUGAUUCCGUGGUUUUUAGUGUUUAAAACCCUUCCAACGUGAUUGUACAUAUUAAAUGCUUCAAUUUGGUAUAAAAUUCGAGAAAAAUGGACGAAAAACGAGUGAGAAUAGUUAAAUAGAAAUUUUCCCAGUUUUCUGGUGACCGGAGUUCGGCGAGAGUCCAUCGGAGAAGAAACCGGAAUAUUCCGUUAGUUCUAACGGAAUAUUCCUGACGCCGUUAACGGAACUGUUAGGUUUUAACGGAAUAUUCUCGGAAUAUUCCUGACGCCGUCAGUGUGCAACGCACGUGGCUGCGUGUGGGGGGCGCGUAGGUCCGUGCCAUUUCAGGCGCGUGGGGGCGCGUGAAGGGUCCAAAAAUUAUUUUAAAAAUAUGGGGAUGAUCCUGAGGUUGUGUAGGUCACCGUGGUAUAUUCAUAUACCCAAUUUGAGCAACAUAUGAGGAGUUAUUAGCUAAGAGUUGGGUUAUGCGUUAAAUAACGUUAUUUCGGGUACUUCUUGUAUAGGUGAGACUUAUAGCGAGGAGGAGCACAUCCAGAGGCGUCAAGGGGGUUACGACCCGGCAACAUACCAGUGAGUGGGCAUUGCUUUCUAUAUAUAUACCUAUAUACCCGAUUUCCCCAGAAAUCAAUUUAAAUGAAAAGUAUGUUGAAUUGUGAUAUGGAAUAUAGUUUGGGUUGCCAUGCUUAGAAUAUCAUGAAUAUUAUGAAUUGUUGUAUGAUGCAUAUAUGUGAAAUGGUGCGGUGAACGCACAGGUGAGUAUCAGGUGAGUAUUAUUACUGUUAUGAUGAUGUUGAGAUAUGUUGAGCUCAUAAACUGCACCUUGGUAUUAGUGCUUAUAUUAUUCACCCUGCAUCGUAUGCUCACCUUGGAUCCAAGUAGAUGCUAGUCGUACAGACCACCGGGGGUGGUUCCGACAUGCCAGUCGUACAGACCAUUAGAGGGGUUCCGACUGGUAGGUGACCUUAGAUUAUGUGCACAAAUGAUUGAUGAGAAAAGCACUAGAGCAUAUUAUUACACCAUUAAGUCGUACAGAUUACAUUAGGUAAUUCCGACUUAUGUGCAGUGUAGUGCCGUACAGGUCAUACUAGGUGACUCCGGCAUGGCCGUACAGGUCACAGUUGGUGACUCCGGUUAGAUGAGAUUUUGAGCUCUACAUUCAGUCGUACAGGACCAUUGUAGGGUCUCCGGUUGAUUUAUUCUUUCACCUGAUUUAUGUUAAUGCAUUCAUACUAAACU